UGUAAGCGUAUACCAAAGUUGUUGCAGUUAAAACGCUCGUAGUCGGAAUUUGGCAGUUCCGGAUGUGUGCACGUCGUGUGCGCACUUUGCGGGGACUGCUUUUGUGGUCUUGCGUAGGAUGAGGCACUUUCAUUAGUGAACGUCCUCACGCAACCACUCUUUACUGUGAGAAAAUCAGAGUGCUCAAAGCAGGCAUUUGCCGUGAAUGUAUUAGCAUGGAAUAAUAGAAUAGGACUCGGUUCUAUUUUGUUGGUUUGUUGGGACUGAGUAAUGAUUAAGAGGGACAGUUGGGGGCAUUUGUAUUCCGGCGCUAGAGGUGAAAUUCUUAGAUUGCCGGAAGACAAACUGCUGCGAAAGCGUCUGCCAAGGAUGUUUUCAUUGA
rnacentral:rRNA from 1 species